UACGUAGGGGGCAAGCGUUAUCCCGGAAUUAUUGGGCGUAAAGAGUGCGUAGGUGGUUUUGUAAGCGCGGGGUGAAAGGCAAUGGCUCAACCAUUGUAAGCCCUGCGAACUGUAAGACUUGAGUGCAGGAGAGGAAAGUGGAAUUCCUAGUGUAGCGGUGAAAUGCGUAGAUAUUAGGAGGAACACCAGUGGCGAAGGCGACUUCUGGACUGUAACUGACACUGAGGCACGAAAGCGUGGGGAGCAAACAGG
rnacentral:rRNA from 1 species